UGCGUAGGCGGGCCGGUCAGUCGGGUGUGAAAACUCACGGCUUAACCGUGGGCUUGCAUUCGAAACUGCCAGUCUUGAGUACGGGAGAGGGAAGUGGAAUUCCUGGUGUAGCGGUGAAAUGCGUAGAUAUCAGGAGGAACACCUGUGGCGAAGGCGGCUUCCUGGACCGAUACUGACGCUGAGGCACGAAGGCCGGGGGAGCAAACA
rnacentral:rRNA from 1 species